CAGAUUUUAUACAUAGUUUAUAACAGUAUUGUAUUGGUUUAAAUUUAGUGGCCUGUAGCCUAAAUAGUAUAGCAAUGGUUUAUUGAUUUUAUUCGGAAUUCUUCUGAUACUUAGGGCAGUAGAAUACAGGUGAUCGAUAGUGUAACAUCGUGCAUUUUCAUAUGCACAUUUAGAUGCAUUAAAGCUUAAUUAUUUUGGCAAAUUAUUGGUUAGGCAAUACAUAGAGAUAAAAGCAGUUCAGAGCACCACUGCACCUGGGAAAGGACAUAGAGAGUGUGCAGAGAGUGUGUUACCAGAAUUGUAUGUGGGCUGUGGAUCCCAUAGAUCCAAGCGACGUUUGAGCGUUUUGAGGUUAGAAAUCUCUAUAUCCACAUGUCGUAUAAUAGACUGGUUUUACGAGCAGAUUUCGUGUCAAUUUAUUAUAUAAAGCUGAACAGAAAUAAAUAACUAUGCUGUACCUAUGACUUCGUUUGUUACGCAUUUCCAUACAAAUCACGGGAAGCCAGGGUUACAGAUUUGGCGACCACGACGAGACUUACGAAAACAACAAGGGAGAACACUUCUAAAUGGCAUAUUUGGACUUCUGUAUCUUUGGAUGAUAAAUUACGUAAUUGGAUGGAGAAGAGAGGAACACAUUUUUACAGUGACAAUUUACAGUGUAAACAUUAGGACAUUGUGCUUGUGGUUCUUGAUAAUAAACAUUGUUGUGAAUGUAAAAAGGUCAUCAGUUGGUGAGUUGACAUUGUGUAUGUU
rnacentral:lncRNA from 1 species